CCUACGGGGGGCAGCAGUCGAGAAUCAUUCACAAUGGGGGAAACCCUGAUGGUGCGACGCCGCGUGGGGGAAUGAAGGUCUUCGGAUUGUAAACCCCUGUCAUGUGGGAGCAAAUUAAAAAGAUAGUACCACAAGAGGAAGAGACGGCUAACUCUGUGCCAGCAGCAGCGGGAAUACAGAGGUCUAAAGCGUUGUUCGGAAUCACUGGGCGUAAAGCGUUCGUAGGCUGUUUCGUAAGUCGUGUGUGAAAGGCGCGGGCUCAACCCGCGGACGGCACAUGAUACUGCGAGACUAGAGUAAUGGAGGGGGAACCGGAAUUCUCGGUGUAGCAGUGAAAUGCGUAGAUAUCGAGAGGAACACUCGUGGCGAAGGCGGGUUCCUGGACAUUAACUGACGCUGAGGCACGAAGGCCAGGGGAGCGAAAGGGAUUAGAUACCCCAGUAGUC
rnacentral:rRNA from 1 species